rnacentral:rRNA from 1 species
GACGAACGCUGGCGGCGUGCUUAACACAUGCAAGUCGAACGGAAAGGCCCUGCUUUCGUGGGAUGCUAGAGUGGAGAACGGGUGUGUAACACGUGAGUAACCUGCUCCAGACCUUGGGAAAACUUCAGGAAACUGGGGCAUACCCCGGAUAGGCGCUCCUGAUGCAUGGUGGGGGUUGGAAAGUUUGGGCGGUUGGGGAUGGACUCCCGGCUAAUCAGCUUGUUGGUGGGGUAGUGGCUUACCAAGGCUUUGACGGGCGGCCGGCCUGGGAGGGUGACCGGCCACAUUGGGACUGGGAUACGGCCCGAACUCCUACGGGAGGCAGCAGUGGGGAAUAUUGCACAAGGGGCGGAAGCCUGUUGCAGCAACGCCGCGUGCGGGAUGACGGCCUUCGGUUUGUAAACCGCUUUCGCCUGUGACGAAGCGUUAGUGACGGUAAUGGGUAAAGAAGCACCGGCUAACUACGUG